AUUUAAACAUUAAACAAAGAUAAAUCAGUAAUCAAGUUCAAUUGGUCCUCUCAUUCAAUAGUACAUAACUGAAGUUUGACCUUGCCAUACAGGUUAAGUUAUUAGGGACUAAGUGCUUGUUUUCUUCAUUAACAGGUUUAUUUAUCUAUAGUACUAUUCAAGAAUACUUUUAUUUCAUUCAUGUUCGAUUCUUUUAGCACAGUGGUGAUACAUCACCUGUGUCAGUAACUGAAACUGAUGUUAUGCCCUACAAAACUGUUAA